rnacentral:rRNA from 1 species
GACGAACGCUGGCGGCGUGCCUAAUACAUGCAAGUCGAACGCAGUGGGGACGGGUGAGUAACACGUGGGUAACCUCCCAUCAGAGGGGAAAACACUUGGAAACAGGUGCUAAACCGAUACUGAUGGAUGGACCCGCGGUGCAUUAGCUAGUUGGUGAGGUAACGGCUCACCAAGGCCACGAUGCAUAGCCGACCGGAGAGGGUGGUCGGCAACACUGUGACUGAGUGACGCCCCGAACGCCUACGGGAUGCAGCAGAAGGGAAGCUUCGGCAAAGGACGAAAGUCUGACCGGGCAACGCCGGGUGAGUGAAAAUGUUUUGCGGAUCGUAGAACUCUGUUGUUAGAGAAGCGGUAUCUAACCAGAGAGCCACGGCUAGCUACGUGCCAGCAGCGGCGGUAAUAC